CCGUAACUAUAACGGUCCUAAGGUAGCGAAAUUCCUUGUCGGGUAAGUUCCGACCCGCACGAAAGGCGUAAUGAUUUGAGCGCUGUCUCGACAAUGCAUCCGGUGAAAUUGAAGUACCAGUGAAGAUGCUGGUUACCUGCGCCAGGACGGAAAGACCCCAUGGAGCUUUACUCCAGCUUGAUACUGGGAUUCGGUAUUGCAUGUACAGGAUAGGUGGGAGACUGAGAAGCAAAGGCGUCAGCUUUUGUGGAGUCGCUGUUGGGAUACCACCCUUGCAGUAUUGGGUUUCUAACCAGCCGCCGUGACCCGGCGGUGGGACAAUGCCAGGCGGGGAGUUUGACUGGGGCGGUCGCCUCCGAAAGGGUAUCGGAGGCGCUCAAAGGUUCCCUCAGAAUGGUUGGAAACCAUUCGAAGAGUGCAAAGGCAGAAGGGAGCUUGACUGCGACACCGACGGGUGGAGCAGGUACGAAAGUAGGACUUAGUGAUCCGGUGGUAUAAAGUGGGAUUGCCAUCGCUCAACGGAUAAAAGCUACCCUGGGGAUAACAGGCUUAUCACUCCCAAGAGUUCACAUCGACGGAGUGGUUUGGCACCUCGAUGUCGGCUCAUCGCAUCCUGGGGCUGUAGUAGGUCCCAAGGGUUGGGCUGUUCGCCCAUUAAAGCGGUACGCGAGCUGGGUUCAGAACGUCGUGAGACAGUUCGGUCCCUAUCCGGCGUGGGCGUAGGAUAUUUGAGAGGAGCUGUCCUUAGUACGAGAGGACCGGGAUGGACGGACCGCUGGUGUAUCUGUUGUACUGCCAAGUGCAUAGCAGAGUAGCCAAGUCUGGAAGGGAUAAACGCUGAAGGCAUCUAAGCGUGAAGCCCCCCUCAAGAUGAGAUAUCCCUCCUUCGGGAGUAAGACCCCUUGAAGACUACAAGGUAGAUAGGGCAGAGGUGGAAGCAUGGCAACAUGUGGAGCUGACUGUUACUAAUAGGUCGAGGGCUUAACCAA
rnacentral:rRNA from 1 species